rnacentral:rRNA from 1 species
GAUGAACGCUGGCGGCGUGCUUAACACAUGCAAGUCGAGCGGAAAGACCCUGCUUUUGUGCGGUUCUCGUUUGGCGAACGGGUGAGUAUCACGCGUGUAUCCUGCACCUGACUUUGUGAUAACAUCUCGAGACUCGGGCUAAUAUCCGGUAGGAGCUCCUGCUGCAUGGUGGGGGAUGGAGAGUUUCGGCGGUUGGGGAUGGACUGGCGGCUUAUCAGCUUGUUGGUGGGGUAGUGGCUUACCAAGGUUUUGACGGGUAGCCGGCCUGAGAGGGUGACCGGCCACAUUGGGACUGAGAUACGGCCCAGACUCCUACGGGAGGCAGCAGGGGGGAAUAUUGCACAAUGGGCGGAAGCCUGAUGCAGCAACGCCGCGUGCGGGAUGACGGCCUUCGGGUUGUAAACCGCUUUCGCCUGUGACGAAGCGUGAGUGACGGUAAUGGGUAAAGAAGCACCGGCUAACUACGUG